rnacentral:rRNA from 1 species
GACGAACGCUGGCGGCGUGCUUAACACAUGCAAGUCGAACGGAAAGGCCCUGCUUUUGUGGGGUGCUCGAGUGGCGCACGGGUGAGUAACACGUGAGUAACCUGCCCUUGACUUUGGGAUAACUUCAGGAAACUGGGGCUAAUACCGGAUAGGAGCUCCUGCUGCAUGGUGGGGGAUGGUAAGUUUCGGCGGUUGGGGAUGGACUCGCGGCUUAUCAGCUUGUUGGUGGGGUAGUGGCUUACCAAGGCUUUGACGGGUAGCCGGCCUGAGAGGGUGACCGGCCACAUUGGGACUGAGAUACGGCCCAGACUGCUACGGGAGGCAGCAGUGGGGAAUAUUGCAGAAUGGGCGGAAGCCUGAUGCAGCAACGCCGCGUGCGGGAUGACGGCCUUCGGGUUGUAAACCGCUUUCGCCUGUGACGAAGCGUGAGUGACGGUAAUGGGUAAAGAAGCACCGGCUAACUACGUG